rnacentral:tRNA from 1 species
GGGCGGCUGGCCGAUCGCGACGACGCCGGGUUUGCGCUGCUCGUGGCGGCCGAGAUUGCUGAGAGCCGGUCCAAGCUCGACGCCGCCCUC